UACAGAGGUCCCAAGCGUUGUUCGGAUUCAUUGGGCGUAAAGGGUGCGUAGGUGGCGCUGUAAGUCGGGUGUGAAAUUUCGGAGCUUAACUCCGAAACUGCAUUCGACACUGCGGUGCUCGAGGACUGGAGAGGAGACUGGAAUUCAUGGUGUAGCAGUGAAAUGCGUAGAGAUCAUGAGGAAGACCAGUGGCGAAGGCGGGUCUCUGGACAGUUCCUGACACUGAGGCACGAAGGCCAGGGGAGCAAACGGG
rnacentral:rRNA from 1 species